CAGAGGAGAGAAGACUGGGCGGGCUUAGGGAGCCCUGAGUGGAUCGUUGUGGCUGGAGCAGUGGGAUGUGUUGUGAGAGGAAGGGGAGAUGUUGGCAUAAAGAAAGGCCAUCACAGAACUGCAUGUGCUAGGCUAAAGACCUGAUGGCACUUCUGGAAUCUGCUCUCGUGCCUUUACUCUCUGACCCAGAUGCCAGGAGGGAAGCACAAGAGUGUGACAAAUAGGGUGUGGACUCUGUGGUCAGACAGAUGUGGGCUCAAAUCCCGGUGCUGCUGUUUGUAGUGGUGGCCAUGAGCAAUUCUCCUCACCUCUCUGUGGCCAUCACUGAGGCUAGCUCACUUAACACUCCUGUCCAACCCACCUCUCCUUUGCCUUCCUCUAUUAUGGACCCCAGAAAGCUCAGUUUCCCAAUAUCUCUUGCAGCAAGUGACACAGAUCAGGCCAAUGAGCUGGAAGGAGAAUCCUACUGAGGGGCAUUCAGGAAACGGAAAAGGUGCAAUAAACAGGAAGAUGUACUUGGCUGGAUCAGAAUUUUGCCUUCUCCUCUCUUUCCUACUUUGAAUGCCAAAUUAUGUUAGGAGCAGCAGCAGCUACUUUGUGACCAUGAGGGGCAAGCUAAGAGUAAUGGCCUAAGAAGAACCGGGCAGAAGACAGGAAGUUCCACAGCCUAUGAGGACAUCACUGAGCAACUGGACCAGUGUCAGCAAUUACCCACCUCUGCGUAUUUGUUGGAUAUUCUGUUACUUACAGUCAAACACAGUCCUAAUUAAUAAACUCUCUAAGCCUCAUUUUCCUCUACUGGUAACUGGAGCUAACAAUAUUUAUCGACAUUCAUUACACUCAUGUCAUGUGCCAAGAACUCCUCUAGGUGCUGGCGGCACAGUGGUCAAGAAGAGAUAAGCUCCCUCGUCUUUUUGCAUUUACAUUUUGGUGGGAGAGACAGACACUGAACCCAUAAAAAGACAAGAAUAUAUCUGAGCAUGAAAAGUGCCAUGAAGAAAAGAAAAGAAGGCAGUGUGACAGAGGGACUGGUGUGAACAUGUCCUGGGAUCCUCAUGACGGGACUCUGUGGGGAAGUGAUACCUGAGCUGAGACUUGAAUGGGAAGAAAAUGACAUGGGUGAGUGUGGGGAAUAGCAUUCCGGGCAGAGGGAAUAGCAAGGGCAAAGGCCUUGAGGCAGGGCCAAGCUCGGUGAGUGGGCAGACCAGGAAGAAGGCCAGAUGGCUGGACAGCUGGGAUUGAGGAAAGGAGAGGAUGGAGGUGAUUCUGGAGGGGUGUGCUGGGGUCAGUCUUGGUAAGCAGGAUGGAUUUAUUGUAAAUGCAAAAGAGAAGCCACUGGAGGGCUCUCAGAGGAGUGUGGGACAAUGACUUGAGUUGCUGGCACACCAUAGGUACUUAAUAAAUGUCUAUAGCCUAGGGUGGAUGGUGCAUCCCCUUAGUGGGACUCCCGUCCUUUCUCAGUCUCAAUCAGCCCGUGCCCCUGUGCUACCUGCCUCGUGCCCCCAGCCCCCGAGCUGGACCCCUCCGGCUGCCUCGUGAGCUCUCCCGGCCCUGCGCCGUCCUCCCCCGCCAGGGCCGUUUGCUCCCUCCAGAGCUGGCAAGCAUAAUUGCUGCUUUCCACAGUGACAUAAAAAUCUAAGAGGCACAAUCAAUACAGCGCACACACACAUCAUCGUCCUUCAUUGCAAACGAUAAAAGCGUAAACAGCAGGGGUGGCGGCAACUCCCGAGGCUGCGGUGGGGGCAGGGCGGACUGCCACAGUCUCCUCGCCCGUCCCUCCCCUCUGGGGCACCGUCUCACUCUGGGGAGCUGCCGCUCAUUAAAGCACAGUUGGGAAACGGUUUUCUCUCUCUUUUCCUUCCAGAUGCAGCAACCCCAGUCUCUGUAACGCGACUUCAGAAAUCCAAUUUGUCUUUCCUUUCACUAUUUUAAAUGUUUUUUCUUGCUUCCCUGCAUCUCCCCAAAUACAGUGCUAGAAGCGCCUUUCUGGAGACAGAAGGACUUUCCUGGGUCUUGUUUGUCACAAGCCCACAAACUGACCUCAAAGGGGAGACCAGCCCUUGAUGGCCAGCUUCUUUGCUCCAUCCAGUCUGCCACCCACAGCUUGCCUUAGAAUAUGCGCAGAAACCAUCACACCCCAGCUCUCAGACUUGCAGCGACUUCUUCAAACUAGUUACUUAAUGAACGUCAUCCGGUUCCGAUUCAGCCUUGUCAUAUUCUCAUUUGCAAAAGCCAAUCUGCUUUACGAUUCCAACCUCUGGCUAGAAACCGCUCCCAAUUUCAUGUCAUCCAUAAACUUGAUGAACGAUUAGCUUGCUCCUCUGCAGUCAUUCAUUUAUUUAUUCAACUAACAUGUAGUGAGUGCCUACUGGAUGCUGGGUGCUAGACACAGAGUUAAAGGAGACGCAGGUCUUAUCCUUGAGAAACUCCUAUGCUGGCGGUGGAGCAGACGUGGAAAUGGUUUGUUGCAGGUGUCCUAUGCUCAACCAGGGCAGAGGAUGAGAGCGGCCUCCUCAGGGGAGGGGCGGUGUAAGCUGGCCUUAAGACGCUGGAGGGGGAGACCUUCCCAGCUGGGGAAGAAAUGGUGUCCUAGUUCGAGAGACCAGAAUGUGCACAAGCAAGGAGUUCUGGGUGGUGACGGGAGAAGAAAUGUACUGAUAUCUAUAAACGUGAGGGGCAAUGAGCCUCAGGACAGGAUCCAGCUGGGACCGGGAGGCCUGUCUCUUGGCUCUUCCCGUUUCUGCUUCAUCCUGAGGCUCCAUCUGGUAGCAAAACGGCUUUGAGCAGCCUCAGGGUUACAUCCUCCCAGGUUCAAUUCAUGGAAAAGAAAGUCUGCUCUCCUCUGACAGACUCGGCACUGGGUCUCCCUGGAUCACAUGGUCUCCCCGACCAAUCAGAAUGGCUGGGGGAAUACAGGCACUUUGGCCAGGUCUGAGGCACGUGGUGUCCCUGGACCUGGGGUGGAGUCAGCUGCCUUUGAAGCCCUGGGCUGAAGGGAGGGUGGGGAUUCCCAGGGGAAAGUUGGGUGGUGUUGGUGCUGAGAAGGGUGCACAGGUGCAGGGCUGCCGGAACACAGAUGGCCACUAUGUGGCCACUGGCGCGCUGUGGCACUCUGUCUCCCCAGGUGGUGGAAGGGGAGCCCCGGGGGUCCUUUCUGCGUGGUGGGUACAGGGAGUCACUCACAGGCACUCCGAGGGUGAGGUCGGCCGCGUGAGGCCUCCUCGCUUCCACGCUCUUCUAACUGUCUGCAGGUGGGUUUGGGUGGACUUCCUGCUUUCCCAAAUGCUGGAUUUAAGCCAGUCAGCAUGUAAUCUCCAGCCAGUCCUCUGUCCUCAGCCUCCCCACUCGUCAAGCUCUUUUCCUGCCCUUCCGCCAAACUGAACCUCCAGCCAUUUCGGGAACUCCACGGUGGCCACCGGCACCUUCUAACCAGAACUCGGCACGGGAGGCUCAGCUGGAGCCAGGGCUUGCCUGCUCUAAUGGGCCUCUCAUUGGCACAUCCUGAGCACUGCAGCCUUCCAUCAGGACUUAAGACGGAGUGGUGGGCUCCUCGGUAGAUAGGUAGGGUCCCCGAGGAUAGGUUCCUUGGGGACAGACAGAUCUAGGUUCUAGUCUGUAGGGACCAGGAUUAAGUUCAGCUGUGGGUGACAGACACCACCCCGAGGAGAAAAACAGUGCCCCAAAGACAGAAGUUUAUUUCUCUCUCAAACAAUCAAGAACCUAGAAGGUGGAAGAGAAGUUUCUCAGAGUCAAUGUCAAUCAUUCUUUCUUGCUGCUCAGCUCUCUUGUUUAUUUUUAUUUCUUUUUUAAAGAUCAGCACCUGAGCUAACAACUGUUGCCAAUCUUCUUUUUUUCUUCUUCUUCUUCUUCUCCCCGAAGCCCCCAGUACAUAGUCGUAUACCCUAGUUGUGAGUGCCUCUGGUUGAGCUCUGUGGGACGCCGCCUCAGCGUGGCCUGAUGAGUGGUGUCAUGUCCGUGCCCAGGAUCCGAACCAGCGAAACCCUGGGCCGCCGAAGCAGAGCGCACGAACUUAACCACUCGGCCACGGGCCAGCCCCAGCUCUCUUCUUCAAGUGGCUUCCUCUUCAUGGUCCAUGGUGGCUGUUUGGUUCCAGCCCCUAGGAGAAGAAGGGGACAAAGAAGCGCAUGUUCUCCCUUUCAGGACACUCCCAGAACUGCACGCUACACUUGUGCUUACAGCUCACAGUCAGAAUUGAGUCACGUGGCUAAAAUGGCCCCCAGGGAGGCUGGGAAGAGAGUCUCGAUUCCAGGCAGCCAUGGGCCUUAUUAAAGUGGAUCGCCCACGUUCCAGCAGCCGCGUUCACCGUGUGACAGGUUGGGAAGCACUGUCACACCAGCUUCAACACCCCUGUGAGCCCGAGCUGGGGGAGGAGAGUCACCCCACAGAUCCGACGAGGAAAGCCAGACUCAGAGAAGGCGAGGCCUUGCCCAUGUACCAGCAGCCGCUCCUGGAGUCCAGGGUGGCCAGACUGGAGGGUCUUGUCUGGUCCUGUGAGUCCAGGCCUCCAUCGAUACUGGAAAAUGAGCUCGGACUUCGGAGAGGCGUGCAGUCUACUAUCUACUGCUUGCUGAAUGGCCUCACCCCUGCAAUCCUUAGUUUCCUCGUCUGAAUAACAGAGAGUUGCUGGGCUGACCAUGGUUAAGAGCUUGAAGUCUGGAUUCGGAUUCCCUGGGUUAAAGUCCUGGAACUACUUCUUAUUAGGUACAGCUUGAUCCAGGACUCUAUCAAUGUGACCAGUCUUUCCAUGUUGGAUCUGCCUUGAAACAGUCUCCAUUCUCAGCAGGCUCUCCCCUCCUGGUUGGAGGAUGGCUGCCAGAAGAUUCCAACGCCACCCGCUUCUUUAUUCAUGUCCCGUGGGAAAGAUUCCCAGCAUUGAAUCUCUUUGGCCCUGAUCAUGUUGACAUGGGUCACGUGCUCCUUUAUUAAUUAACCUGUCACUGUGUGAUAGGAAAUGCUGAUUGGCUAGGCCAGCCUGGCUCAACCCUUAAGCUGCAUGUGGGGCCAAUUCUAGCCAGAUGCAUGGCUGGGAAAUUUGGGAUUCUCUGAGAAAUGGGGAGGGGAGGAAACAGACACUGUAGAAGCAACAAGCACACUCCAUGCCACCACUCGGUCUCAUUUCUUACCAUUCCCCAUAUACGCCCUCAUCUCUCCCUAAUCAUUGAUCCAGCACCUUCUGGAGGC
rnacentral:lncRNA from 1 species